UAAGACCUUGCGCUAUUGGAUGAGCCGAAGUCGGAUUAGCUAGUUGGUGAGGUAACGGCUCACCAAGGCGACAAUCCGUAGCUGGUCUGAGAGGACGACCAGCCACACUGGGACUGAGACACGGCCCAGACUCCUACGGGAGGCAGCAGUGGGGAAUAUUGGACAAUGGGGGCAACCCUGAUCCAGCGACGCCGCGUGUGUGAAGAAGGCCUGCGGGUUGUAAAGCACUUUUAGUGGGGAUGAAAAGCCACGGAUUAAUACUUCGUGGUCUUGAUUUAACCCAAAGAAAAAGCACCGGCUAACUCUGUGCCAGCAGCCGCGGUAAUACAGAGGGUGCGAGCGUUAAUCGGAAUUACUGGGCGUAAAGCGCGCGUAGACGGUUUUGUAAGUCAGAUGUGAAAUCCCUGGGCUCAACCUGGGAACU
rnacentral:rRNA from 1 species